GCAGAGUGACGGUAUAGGAGAAGAAGCCCCGGCUAACUACGUGCCAGCAGCCGCGGUAACUACGUAGGGAGGCAAGCGUUGUCCGGAA
rnacentral:rRNA from 1 species